AUGCUCGCUUCAGCAGUACAUAUACCAAAAUUAGAACAACAUAGGAAAGGUUAGCAUGGCUACUGAGUAAGGAUAUGCAAAUUUGUGAAGCAUUCCGUACUUUU